AAUAACCGCAGUUAUAAGUUUCCGUGUCUAAUUUUAAUCGUCCGUCUUAUUUAUUUUUUAUGAUUAGUGCUUUUAUUGUUAUUAGAUUAUAAAACAUGAAUAGUACUUUAUGCGUGAGUUAUGUUUUUUAGUUUUUUUCAAAAGUAUUUUAAAUAAGACAAACAAUUAAAGUUGGACAUGAAAAUUUAUGGUUGUGCUUAUU
rfam:Oryza barthii chromosome 3, whole genome shotgun sequence.